rnacentral:rRNA from 1 species
GAGGAGCACGAAGGUUGGCUAAUCCUGGUCGGACAUCAGGAGGUUAGUGCAAUGGCAUAAGCCAGCUUGACUGCGAGCGUGACGGCGCGAGCAGGUGCGAAAGCAGGUCAUAGUGAUCCGGUGGUUCUGAAUGGAAGGGCCAUCGCUCAACGGAUAAAAGGUACUCCGGGGAUAACAGGCUGAUACCGCCCAAGAGUUCAUAUCGACGGCGGUGUUUGGCACCUCGAUGUCGGCUCAUCACAUCCUGGGGCUGAAGUAGGUCCCAAGGGUAUGGCUGUUCGCCAUUUAAAGUGGUACGCGAGCUGGGUUUAGAACGUCGUGAGACAGUUCGGUCCCUAUCUGCCGUGGGCGCUGGAGAACUGAGGGGGGCUGCUCCUAGUACGAGAGGACCGGAGUGGACGCAUCACUGGUGUUCGGGUUGUCAUGCCAAUGGCACUGCCCGGUAGCUAAAUGCGGAAGAGAUAAGUGCUGAAAGCAUCUAAGCACGAAACUUGCCCCG